UUAUUCUGACGAGCGGCGGACGGGUGAGUAAUGUCUGGGAAACUGCCUGAUGGAGGGGGAUAACUACUGGAAACGGUAGCUAAUACCGCAUAACGUCUUCGGACCAAAGAGGGGGACCUUCGGGCCUCUUGCCAUCAGAUGUGCCCAGAUGGGAUUAGCUAGUAGGUGAGGUAAUGGCUCACCUAGGCGACGAUCCCUAGCUGGUCUGAGAGGAUGACCAGCCACACUGGAACUGAGACACGGUCCAGACUCCUACGGGAGGCAGCAGUGGGGAAUAUUGCACAAUGGGCGCAAGCCUGAUGCAGCCAUGCCGCGUGUGUGAAGAAGGCCUUCGGGUUGUAAAGCACUUUCAGCGGGGAGGAAGGCGGUGAGGUUAAUAACCUCAUCGAUUGACGUUACCCGCAGAAGAAGCACCGGCUAACUCCGUGCCAGCAGCCGCGGUAAUACGGAGGGUGCAAGCGUUAAUCGGAAUGACUGGGCGUAAAGCGCACGCAGGCGGUUUGUUAAGUCAGAUGUGAAAUCCCCGAGCUUAACUUGGGAACUGCAUUUGAAACUGGCAAGCUAGAGUCUUGUAGAGGGGGGUAGAAUUCCAGGUGUAGCGGUGAAAUGCGUAGAGACUGGAGGAAUACCGGUGGCGAAGGCGGCCCCCUGGACAAAGACUGACGCUCAGGUGCGAAAGCGUGGGGAGCAAACAGGAUGCU
rnacentral:rRNA from 1 species